AGUUUUAUUAAAAAUAUUUGUGACAGUCGUUUACAAACUUGACUCUGACAACACAAUCACCAAGAACCAAAUAUCUGAUUUUAACAAUUUUCAAAAAUUAAUACUAUUCAGACAAAAUUUUAAGGACCUUCUCACAAUUCACCUUAGAUGCUCCCAAUAUUUAGGCGCGAAAGUUAUACAAAAAGCCUAAGAUCGCCUGUGAGAGUUGAUAUUCAACCAGAUAUUUGGUCAUUGGUGAGGCCACCUAGAAACGUCUAACCAAACUAUUUUCGUUUUUCUUAAUGGUCAUAUAGAAAAAAUAUAGGUAUGUAUUGGCACAUCACGACAUUUAAAUAAAAAAAGAACAGAUAUAGUUACAAAGUUAUUUAGAUAGUGACUUUUUAAAUGUAGUAUUAGUUGGAAAGUAAAUGAAUUUUCCUCGGAAUAUGUAUAUUCAUUUACUAGGUAAGAUUGAAUGCUUUUUAUAUAAUAUAACGAUUAAGAAAAACUGAGUACAAGUAUGUAUAAAAUCUAAUUAGGUACUAGGCGAUAACAUGUAUGUAUGUAUAUAUAAUAACAAUCAAUACUUAUAAAACCUCUUUUCCACAUCAGGGUUGAAGUACGGAAUUUAUUUCAGUUUGAUUUAAGCGUUUAUCGUUUUUAAGUUUUUUUUUACAUUUUCUAUAAAUGAAACAUCGUAAGUACACUCCUGAUAUGAAAGUACAAAAGAGACAAUAUUUUAGGGUAACACGUGGUAACAUUUUAAGGCACUCUUAGGGUCUUACCAUAUCUUAUCGACGCUACUUCUUUGCAUUCGCGUACUAUUCUCGGUCAGAUGUCAAUGUACCAAUCCGACCGGUCCAAAGUCGAUCUCAUAUGGCAACGACCCUUAUUCUAAACUACACUUAUCAACAAAAAAAAGUCUUAACAAAGGUCAAUUACCCAAGUACCUAUCUUUUAGGAUCAUUAUUUCAACUUUAUUAAGUUUUAAGAGAGCGCGAACAUUGUGUAGUGAGGACCCUAUAACUUAUUCCGCAGUUAUCGACUAAUAACAAGUUAUAUUUAACAUAUUAAACUAGUUCUUAUAAGAAGAUAAUAACUUUCAAUAAUAAUGAUAUCACAUUAGAGUUACAUACGAUGUGAUGAAUUGAAAAUUAUAACGAUAGUCACACUUGGUACCGAAGCUGAUUGACACUGACUAAAUAUUAAUUAAGAAGUUACAAAAUCGUAUUUACUCGGAUUUUAUCAAAGAAAAAUACUACUGGAGUUUAACGCUUAUAUUGGUGAUCGAAGGCGUUAGCUUAAUUUAGGCUGGGCGUAAAUAUUUUCUCAGUUCACCACAUCAAAUAUUGUAUAAUAAAUUAAACUAAAAUAAUUGCACUGUCACCGAUAAUGCGAUAAUAUCCUUUGUAGUCAUACAAACUGAAUUGUACAUGUUACUUACAUAUUUACAUAAUGCGAAAUAAAUCAGAACGCGUUCUAAUUGUACUGGGAGAAGAAUAAAUAUGAGUAAACAACAAAUGGUUUUAUAUAGUAUACCAAACUUUUAUAUGGUAUACCAACUCAAGUUUCAAAGAAAGAAAAUUGAAAUUUGUAACUAAUUUCGAAAAAAAAUUGACUCCUUACGUAUAAAUGCUACUCUAUGAAGACUUGAUUUCAUAUAAGCAAAAUAAAUAUUUGUAAAAUGCAUUUAAAUCGAGAAAAAUGUAUGACCAUUUGAGAUAAUAUCUCUGUAGUAUUUCAUAGCCUUUUUGACAUAAUACCUAGAGUAUAGUAAAUACCUUUUAAAUAUGUACAUAUUUUUUGUUUUUUUUUUUAAAAAUUUUUUGCAUUGUAACGAGAUCAAUACUGUUUUCAGCAUAUACGCUAGUAUGAUUUAAAUUUUGAUGUGAUGCAGCCUCGGAUUUAAAUAUUUUUGACACACGUGUCUGUAAUGAAUGAUACACUAGUAGGGUAGGUUAGAAGAUUUUAGAAAUAUUGUUAGUAGGUAAAUCAUGUGAUCUAAAUUAUAAGGUUAGUAUAAGGUAAGAGUUAGUAAGGAUAAAACAGUUAAAUUACAAAUAAUUUGAAGUGAAAAAUAUAGGCUUGGAUUGGGAAAAUGGAUAGGAGAAGUAGAAAAGUAG